UACGUAGGGUGCGAGCGUUAAUCGGAAUUACUGGGCGUAAAGCGUGCGCGGGCGGUUAUUUAAGUCAGGUGUGAAAGCCCUGGGCUUAACCUAGGAAUUGCGCUUGAGACUGGAUAGCUUGGAGUGCGGCAGAGGGAGGUGGAAUUCCACGUGUAGCAGUGAAAUGCGUAGAGAUGUGGAAGAACACCGAUGGCGAAGGCAGCCUCCUGGGCCAGCACUGACGCUCAUGCACGAAAGCGUGGGGAGCAAACAGG
rnacentral:rRNA from 1 species